UACGUAGGGUGCGAGCGUUUGUCCGGAAUUAUUGGGCGUAAAGAGCUCGUAGGCGGUUUGUCGCGUUCUGCUGUGAAAACCUAAGGCUCAACCCUUGGGCUUGCAGUGGGUACGGGGCAGACUAGAGUGCGGUAGGGGUGACUGGAAUUCCUGGGUGAUACGCGGGUGGAAAUGCGCAGAUAUCAGGAGGAACACCGGAUGGCGAAGGCU
rnacentral:rRNA from 1 species